AUUUUUGGAUGGCCACACGUCACGUCGGAGAUAUCCUUAGUGCCCUCCGGCACUAGAAAAAGGACACUGGUCUGUUCCCACCCUGUACAGGCUGCUGAUGGCUUCUGGAUACUGGGCUAAGAGGAGAGGACAGGCUGCUGAUGGCUUCUGGAUACUGGGCUGAGAGGAGAGGACAGGCUGCUGAUGGCUUCUGGAUACUGGGCUGAGAGGACAGGCUUCUGGAUACUGGGCUGAGAGGACAGGCUUCUGGAUACUGGGCUGAGAGGAGAGGACAGGCUGCUGAUGGCUUCUGGAUACUGGGCUGAGAGGACAGGCUUCUGGAUACUGGGCUGAGAGGACAGGCUUCUGGAUACUGGGCUGAGAGGACAGGCUUCUGGAUACUGGGCUGAGAGGACAGGCUUCUGGAUACUGGGCUGAGAGGACAGGCUUCUGGAUACUGGGCUGAGAGGACAGGCUGCUGGUGUGACAAGGAGAGCAGCAGUGAACAAGCCUAUUUUCAGACUGUAGAGGAGCAUUUCAACAUUCUGAAUGAGUGAAGAUAAUCUGGAGGUGAUUCAAACUGCUGUACUGUCUGUUUAGACUCUGACUAGACUAUGGUGACAGCUCUGCCCACUGACUGUCUCAAUAACUCUGAUGAUGUGUAACACCUUGGGUAGAAUAAAGUCUGUUUCUCCAC